GCAUCUUCUUGGGUUAAAAACUCCGGUGGUUAAAGAUGGGCAUGCGUUGUAUUAGCUAGUUGGUGAGGUAACGGCUCACCAAGGCAACGAUACAUAGGGGGACUGAGAGGUUAACCCCCCACAUUGGUACUGAGACACGGACCAAACUCCUACGGGAGGCAGCAGUGAGGAACGUUGGUCAAUGGACGCAAGUCUGAACCAGCCAUGCCGCGUGCAGGAAGACGGCUCUAUGAGUUGUAAACUGCUUUUGUACUAGGGUAAACGCUUCUACGUGUAGGAGCCUGAAAGUAUAGUACGAAUAAGGAUCGGCUAACUCCGUGCCAGCAGCCGCGGUAAUACGGAGGAUCCAAGCGUUAUCCGGAUUUAUUGGGUUUAAAGGGUGCGUAGGCGGUUUGAUAAGUUAGAGGUGAAAUACCGGGGCUCAACUCCGGAACUGCCUCUAAUACUGUUGAACUAGAGAGUAGUUGCGGUAGGCGGAAUGUAUGGUGUAGCGGUGAAAUGCUUAGAGAUCAUACAGAACACCGAUUGCGAAGGCAGCUUACCAAACUAUAUCUGACGUUGAGGCACGAAAGCGUGGGGAGCAAACAGGAUUAGAUACCCUGGUAGUCCACGCAGUAAACGAUGAUAACUCGUUGUCGGCGAUACAC
rnacentral:rRNA from 1 species